UCGAGCGCUCCUUCGGGUGGAGCGGCGGACGGGUUAGUAACGCGUGGGAAUAUACCCAGUUCUAAGGAAUAGCCACUGGAAACGGUGAGUAAUACCUUAUACGCCCUUCGGGGGAAAGAUUUAUCGGAAUUGGAUUAGCCCGCGUUAGAUUAGAUAGUUGGUGGGGUAAUGGCCUACCAAGUCUACGAUCUAUAGCUGGUUCGAGAGGAUGAUCAGCCACACUGGGACUGAGACACGGCCCAGACUCCUACGGGAGGCAGCAGUAGGGAAUCUUAGACAAUGGGGGCAACCCUGAUCUAGCCAUGCCGCGUGUGUGAUGAAGGCCCUAGGGUCGUAAAGCACUUUCGCCAGAGAUGAUAAUGACAGUAUCUGGUAAAGAAACCCCGGCUAACUCCGUGCCAGCAGCCGCGGUAAUACGGAGGGGGUUAGCGUUGUUCGGAAUUACUGGGCGUAAAGCGCACGUAGGCGGAUUAGUAAGUUAGAGGUGAAAUCCCAGGGCUCAACCCUGGAACUGCCUUUAAUACUGCUAGUCUUGAGUUCGAGAGAGGUAAGUGGAAUUCCGAGUGUAGAGGUGAAAUUCGUAGAUAUUCGGAGGAACACCAGUGGCGAAGGCGGCUUACUGGCUCGAUACUGACGCUGAGGUGCGAAAGUGUGGGGAGCAAACAGGAUUAGAU
rnacentral:rRNA from 1 species